ACUUGCACCAGUGCCCAGAGAGGGGGUGCAGGCUGAGGAGCUGCCCAGAGCACCGCUCACACUCCCAGAGUACCUGAAGUCGGCAUUUCAAUGACAGCUUCUCUGGGUGCUGCUCUGGGCCACCGUGUUGGGCUUGCUCUGCCAGCGACUGGCUGCACGUCUGGGCGUGGUGACAGGCAAGGACUUGGGCGAGGUCUGCCAUCUCUACUACCCUAAGGUGCCCCGCACCGUCCUCUGGCUGACCAUCGAGCUAGCCAUUGUGGGCUCCGACAUGCAGGAAGUCAUCGGCACGGCCAUUGCAUUCAAUCUGCUCUCAGCUGGACGGUACCACCCCAGUGUACCCCAACUCUUCAGGCCAGGCAGAGAACAGCUGCUGCUACUUCCCCCCCUAACCAGUCCCUCCCAGAGUCUAUUUUAUCCUGCUGUCCCCUCUGAAGCAGGGCUGCUGCCCUGUUUUCCAGAAAUGUAAAGUGACUUGUCUAAAGUCACACAGAUGUGAGUCAUGCAGGACUUUGGGACUGCAGCCCCAAACUCCCUGCUGCGCCGGGUGCCAGGUCUCUCCUCUAGCUCUGCCCUGCCUCGACUGUUCUAUGCCACACUCCCACUCCCCUUGCCCUAGCUGUCUGGGGGCGCUUAGGGUCCUGCUCCCAGGAGGCCAGAUUCCUGUCUCCAGCCCUGAGGCUCCGUAGGAGUUA
rnacentral:lncRNA from 1 species